rnacentral:rRNA from 1 species
AUUGAACGCUGGCGGCAUGCUUUACACAUGCAAGUCGAACGGUAACAGGCCGCAAGGUGCUGACGAGUGGCGAACGGGUGAGUAAUGCAUCGGAACGUGCCCAGUCGUGGGGGAUAACUGCUCGAAAGAGCAGCUAAUACCGCAUACGAUCUAUGGAUGAAAGCGGGGGACCGUAAGGCCUCGCGCGAUUGGAGCGGCCGAUGUCAGAUGAGGUAGUUGGUGGGGUAAAGGCUCGCCAAGCCAACGAUCUGUAGCUGGUCUGAGAGGACGACCAGCCACACUGGGACUGGGACACGGACCAGACUCCUACGGGAGGCAGCAGUGGGGAAUUUUGGACAAUGGGGGCAACCCUGAUCCAGCAAUGCCGCGUGCAGGAAGAAGGCCUUCGGGUUGUAAACUGCUUUUGUACGGAACGAAACGGUCUGGGUUAAUACCCUGGGCUAAUGACGGUACCGUAAGAAUAAGCACCGGCUAACUACGUGCCAGCAGCCGCCGUAAAAC